rnacentral:rRNA from 1 species
GUGAGCGGCAACAGCUCAAAUUUGAAAGCUGGCCUUCGGGUCCGCAUUGUAAUUUGUAGAGGAUGCUUUGGGUGAAACGCCAGUCUAAGUUCCUUGGAACAGGACGUCAUAGAGGGUGAGAAUCCCGUAUGUGACUGGAAAUGUUAACCUAUGUAAAGCUCCUUCGACGAGUCGAGUUGUUUGGGAAUGCAGCUCUAAAUGGGAGGUAAAUUUCUUCUAAAGCUAAAUAUUGGCGAGAGACCGAUAGCGCACAAGUAGAGUGAUCGAAAGAUGAAAAGCACUUUGGAAAGAGAGUUAAAAAGCACGUGAAAUUGUUGAAAGGGAAGCGCUUGCAAUCAGACUUGUUUAAACUGUUCGGCCGGUCUUCUGACCGGUUUACUCAGUUUGGACAGGCCAGCAUCAGUUUCGGCGGCCGGAUAAAGGCUCUGGGAAUGUGGCCUUCACUUCGGUGAAGGUGUUAUAGCCCAGGGUGUAAUACGGCCAGCCGGGACUGAGGUCCGCGCUUCGGCUAGGAUGCUGGCGUAAUGGUUGUAAGCGACCCGUCUUGAAACACGGACC